rnacentral:rRNA from 1 species
GAUGAACGCUGGCGGCGUGCCUAAUACAUGCAAGUCGAGCGAACGGACGAGAAGCUUGCUUCUCUGAUGUUAGCGGCGGACGGGUGAGUAACACGUGGAUAACCUACCUAUAAGACUGGGAUAACUUCGGGAAACCGGAGCUAAUACCGGAUAAUAUUUUGAACCGCAUGGUUCAAAAGUGAAAGACGGUCUUGCUGUCACUUAUAGAUGGAUCCGCGCUGCAUUAGCUAGUUGGUAAGGUAACGGCUUACCAAGGCAACGAUGCAUAGCCGACCUGAGAGGGUGGUCGGCGACCCUGGAGCUGAGACACGGUCCAGGCUCCUACGGGAGGCACCAGUAGGGAAUCUUCCGCAAUGGGCGGAAGCCUGACGGAGCAACGCCGCGUGAGUGAUGAAGGUCUUCGGAUCGUAAAACUCUGUUAUGAGGGAAGAACAUAUGUGUAAGUAACUGUGCACAUCUUGACGGUACCUAAUCAGAAAGCCACGGCUAACUACGUG